UUGGGGGGAUUUACCCCUUAGUGGCGAAGCUAACGCGUUAAGUUAUCCGCCUGGGGAGUACGGCCGCAAGGUUAAAACUCAAAGGAAUUGACGGGGACCCGCACAAGCGGUGGAGCAUGUGGUUUAAUUCGAUGCAACGCGAAGAACCUUACCUGGUCUUGACAUCCUGAGAACUUUCUAGAAAUAGAUUGGUGCCUUCGGGAACUCAGUGACAGGUGCUGCAUGGCUGUCGUCAGCUCGUGUCGUGAGAUGUUGGGUUAAGUCCCGUAACGAGCGCAACCCCUAUCCUUAUUUGCCAGCACAUCAUGGUGGGAACUAUAAGGAGACUGCCGGUGAUAAACCGGAGGAAGGCGGGGACGACGUCAAGUCAUCAUGGCCCUUACGACCAGGGCUACACACGUGCUACAAUGGGAAGGACAAAGAGCCGCGAAGCCGUGAGGUGUAGCUAAUCUCAGAAACCUUUUCGUAGUCCGGAUUGGAGUCUGCAACUCGACUCCAUGAAGUCGGAAUCGCUAGUAAUCGUAGAUCAGAAUGCUACGGUGAAUACGUUCCCGGGUCUUGUACACACCGCCCGUCAUACCAUGGGAGUGGGUUGCACCAGAAGUGGCUAGUCUAACUUUAUUGAGGACGGUCACCACGGUGUGAUUCAUGACUGGGGUA
rnacentral:rRNA from 1 species